UGUGAGAUCGUGCGAAAUCAAACUUAAACUUGUUAAAUAACUAUGGCUUAUAGUCAGAUACAGCCUUACAUUUAUGAUCCAGAAUCGGAUGCAGAGUCAGUAAAUGACCAACAGGAACAACAGCAGCAACGAUUACAACAGGACGUUUCUAUCUGGUAAUUAGUCAUUGUUUGUUUACCCGCUGUUUGUUUGUUUGUUUUUAAUACGACGUAAAACUUGAUGUUUUUUCUGCAUUUGUCUGUUUAAAAGGUGUAAAUGUCAUAGGUGCAGUACAAUGCCAACUGAGGCAGAAAAUGUUUGCUGCCAAGAAAUACAACAGGUAAGGAGACGACUAAUUCAAGCACCAACCUCUUUACAGUGUAUGACAGAACAUCCAGGACUGGAGGCCAACUGCCUGAAUGUUUAUACACUUCAAAACAUAAACAACAUUUACAGAGCAGACUAUGGACCACUUAGGAGGAGAACAGAGGAGGAGAGAGUAUUCAAGAUAAUAGCGUUUUAGGUAUCUUGCCUAUCGCAGUUUUGUUAGCUGGUGCUGGGGAUAUCUUGGCAGACAUGUGCGCGUGGUCAUUCCUGCAUGUGUUUUCCUGCGGAUUCGUCAGGAGUUUCCUGAUGCUGGAGGGAACUACACUGGCUUCCGGCCACCGCUGGAUUGAACCUGGAGACAUGUCGGGCAAUAAGAUCCUCCUUUGCUGGCCUCUCAAACUGUGCUGAUAGGUCCUCUGGAACAGGAACUUUCCGCAGAUCCUCAACAUAGGUGUCAGGGUUGUCAAAUACCUCCGUGAACAGCAAUCUCAUCAGGUCACUGACGUAUCCUGGCACAAAAAAUAAAAAACUUC